GGAGUGCUCCUAUGGCUUGACUUGACCGUUGUAUCUUGGGAGAUGAUUGUCGAAAAAUCGUUAGCGCCGAUACAGGACAAAUUCAUUUUAAGGAAAGAGUUAUACUCGCCUCGACCAAUCGCAUCACUUAUAUCUAAUUUUUUCUGAUUUCAUUUCUACUUGAUUUUAGAAAAUAAUUAAUUUUAUUUAUAUGAUUUAUACAAGGUUCGAUAUGAAGAAUCACAUGUUUUAAUUCAAGAAUGGAAAUGGUCAGAUUCGAUAAUCAUUGGUUAGUUUCUCAAACUCCAUUUCGGUAAGUCGAAACUUUGUUUCGAUUUCGUGAACAUAAACGAUAUAUUUUUUGUGAAUAUAAUAUGCACAUAAUCGGUGUAUUUUCCAACAGGAUCGCUGUCCUCAAACGUUAUCUGCCCCUUCUUCGAUGUUUUCAAAAUGCUUUAACGGUAUUCCGACAAAUGGUUUGAAGAUUAUAACAAGUCUUGUAAAGAAUUUCACCAAAGUACAAGAUGAAAUUUUCCAAAACUUGAAGAACACGAAGAUAUGAAUGUAAAUCGGGAUUUAAUUGUUCUUAGAACAAUUUAUGGAUUGCUAGAUGUUUUUCUAACAUCUUUCCCUCAAACAUGGCUCUCCUAUAUAUAGUCAUCGACCAGAAGUACGAAAUGAUGCCUAAGUUCAAAUUUGUAACAGCAAACAAAGGUCAAAUUUUUGUCCCAUGUGACCGCAUGGUACAAACCUAUGCGGUCGCAUGGACCAAUACUUUUAUUUAUUUAUUGUUGUUGGUUUUGAAUAACAUAAACACAG
rnacentral:lncRNA from 1 species